rnacentral:rRNA from 1 species
UGGGGAAUAUUGGACAAUGGGCGCAAGCCUGAUCCAGCCAUGCCGCGUGAGUGAUGAAGGCCCUAGGGUUGUAAAGCUCUUUCACCGGUGAAGAUAAUGACGGUAACCGGAGAAGAAGCCCCGGCUAACUUCGUGCCAGCAGCCGCGGUAAUACGAAGGGGGCUAGCGUUGUUCGGAUUUACUGGGCGUAAAGCGCACGUAGUCGGACUUUUAAGUCAGGGGUGAAAUCCCGGGGCUCAACCCCGGAACUGCCUUUGAUACUGGAAGUCUUGAGUAUGGUAGAGGUGAGUGGAAUUCCGAGUGUAGAGGUGAAAUUCGUAGAUAUUCGGAGGAACACCAGUGGCGAAGGCGGCUCACUGGACCAUUACUGACGCUGAGGUGCGAAAGCGUGGGGAGCAAACAGG